AUCUUUAAUAAUAAAACCACUUUGCAGCAGCCGUAGUUCUGUAAAUGGAUAUCUUACUUAUUAAACAAAAUGUAAUUGGAAAAUAAAACGCACUGUCACCAAAUAAUGGCCCAUGUAACAAAUAAUCAGUUUGGAUGCAGCUACAAGAUUUUUCUGGCACAAUAGUAAAUUAAACACUUCAGCAAAUUUGUUAAACCAAUGAAAAUUCCAAUCCUGUGUGUUUUGUUUUAAUGAUGUAGGAAUGUGAACAACAAGAUGUUUUCUUUUUUUUGUUCACGUUAGAGUGAACAGAAAAAUAAUUUAACAGACAAAGAAAGUUUCUGGUGUUUUCCUGGGAAAAUGAGGUUAGAGCAGUUAGAAACACCAUUCGUAGCUUAAAGCAAUAGAGUUUAUUCAGAUGUUUUUGUUUUGCUAAUUGGCAUUCCAGGGGUAAGUGGUUACUGGUGCAGGCUCCUCCUUCCAACCCCGCCAUCACGAGAGACUCAGGCCCUUCCUACCUUUCUAUGCUGUCGUUCUUAGCAAAUUUGUUUUUAAUUUUCCUGUAUGUUGCCUUAUGGUUGCAAGAUGGCAGCAAUAGGGCCAGUCAUCAGGAAAAAGGGGGCAAGGAUCAGGACAUCUAUGAUCCUUUAUCCGGCCACUUUCACAUAGAUCUCCAAGACCAGACUUAUCCCCCAUGUCCAUAUUUAGUUGCAAGGAGGCUGGGAAAAUGAGGAAUAGGAUUGCCAUUGUUGGUAUGGCCAACCAUGACUAAUCCCCAGGGGCUGGGCAAUUGCUGCCACCAAACAAUAUUGGGGUGCUGAUCAGAAAAAAGAAGGGGCUGGAUAUUGGUUCCACUUCAGAGGUUUACAUAUGUUUUGGUCAGCAAUCUGCUGUUCUUUCCCUAUUUUCUCAGAAGCAGUCUGGUCAAAGUUGCCCGCUUAUCAAUAGCUAUUCCCAAUUGGUGUGUAUGCUUAAGUGUGGAUUGUAGGGAUUCAGAUGUGGGAGAGAUAAUGAGGGCAAGAGUGGUCAGGGGAUGCCUCAUGAAAGAGUAGAAUUGAAGGGGGGGAGGAUUAAUGUAGGUGGUAGGGAAAAGAAACAGCAACCUAGCAAGAGGGAUCACACAAGUGAAGGCGGGGAGAUCAGCUAAGCACUUGUCUGAUAAGAGAAAUCUCAACUUCUGAGAGGAGUUGAGACUCUCUGUGUUAAGUGUAUCUGAUGCUUUGACAUUUGAGACCUUGCUGACCUGGAGAGACUGUCUCUCUCAGGGCUGGCCAAUUCCUAGAGGUCGUAAAUGACUUGCCUGCCAGCACAUGCAAACCAACAAAUCCAGAGCCCCCAACUAUCUCCUCCUUUAUUGAGCUCUUAAGAGCUACCCACCUGCCCUAAUCAUACAAGGGCCAGAUAGGAGACAACUAGAGACAGUUGCUCUACCCCAAAUCCUGCUGAAUUUCAACUAGCCAAUCCUAAACCUGCUUAUCCUGCCUCACCUUUUCCUUCUCAUGGAAACCAUAAUAAAGGCUCUUACUUUUUCUCCUUGCUCCCUCUGCUUCCUGACUGACUCUGGUGCUUCCCUGGGUGGCCCCCACACUGUGCCAUGCUGGACUAUACCUCCUGUUUCCAAGGAUCUCUUUCAGCAAUGCUUCGAGGAGACUGAAAAUAUUUUCUUCCAAGAGAAUAAAGUGAAUACCACGUGGAGGACAGUCUCUAAAACGUAUUGCUCAUGUGGCUGUGCCAAUGACCCAGCUAUUAACGGAAAACAUACUUUUCAUUUCGACAACUGUCGACUGGACCUAAUUGCUUUUUGAUGGUAGUUCUGGAAAAAUAUAGUAAUACUAGUCACCGUGGAUUCUACCAUUUAAAAAGGAAAGUUAUUGCUGAGUGUUCUGAAUGAUGCUGCAAAGUAAAUGGCCACCUUGGUGCACUAGAAACAAAAUUACUGUCUCAUAGUGGCAGUGGGAUGUACUGAUGGUCAACAAGGUGCCAAAUUCAUUGGUGAGCUGGAAGGGAGGCUCUGUGGGUUUCCCGAGCUGGGAGUUGAAGACAAUAAGGUAGCGAGUCUGCGUGAAGCAGAUGGUGUAUGAAGGAAGAGCCUGGGACACCCACGGGGAAGCCCACUCACUCGCCACCCUGCUCAAGGACGCUGCACUGUGAGGACUGUCACUGUGCUCCAGAGCCUCCUGAAACAAAAGACCUAGGGUACUUCCCAUAUGGUGAUACAGAGAGAUUUCCCCUGGUGUGAACCAGCACAAUAUGCAUGCACCAUGGAUGUGCCAGGACCACGGAGGUCUGGGAGGUCACAGCUCUGAGGAACGGAUGGUGUCUCUAAGGAGGUGCACAGCCAAUACCCCUCACACUGAGGAGUAGAGAGAACCCACUCUCAGUUCCCCCGAGUUCCAGGAGCAGUGAAAUCACUAAAGAAGAAUAGAUGUGUCCAUCAAGACAAGAAACUGCAACUCAGAGACAACCAAAGCUUGUUCAAGAAAAGCUCUGUGCCCAGAUACUCUGUUUGUCAUCUCUAGUUGUUGUGGAAUCUAGGAAAAGGCACAGAAAUGCCAUGUCAGAGCAAUUGCAUUUGGGAUUCAAUGUACUCUCAGCUGUGCACUGACGGCUUCCUCACCUACCGUUAUGAAGUCCUUUUGCUGGCAGUGAUUACAGAAGACGGUGACAUCGAAGAAGAGGCUCUGUCUGAAUUUGGGAGGCCUAAUAAAAAAAAAAAGGAAAUUGGAGAAAGAAACUUCUAUAGCAUUAAAAACUUGGAAAUGUUCUGGGGGUAUCAUCCACCCACCACUUUCAUUUUGCAGAUGGGAAAAUGGAUGAAGAGAGAACAUGUCCCCGCCUCCGAGAGGGAGAGGGAACAGCCCUAAAGAAUGAGACAGAGUCCUUGGCUUGUAGACUCAGACCAUUCCAAAAGAUCUAUAAGGUUGUUCGACUUCACUUGAACAGUAUUUGUUUUCUCUUUACUUCAGCAGUUCACUGCCAGGUGGAGUUGAGCAUGGGUGAUGCAAUGUAUAAGGGACCUGAAGCCUGAUCAUGUUGUAAUCAUGUCAUACACUAUGUCACUCUGGAUGGACCAAGCUUACCCAAGACAUACCUGCCUUGAUACUCACUCCAGAAGACAAGUCUGGUUGGUUGCGAGAUUUGAUGAGGGUUAGUAGGUAUCAUGUAGGGCUCCUGAUAUCUGAAAGUGAUUGACACUGCUCAUUCUCACAUUGUCAGUAAUUCGUAGUGUGUUCUGCAUCUAGCACAUUCAUGUUUAGAAAAACAAGGGAAACAAAUUUUUUCUUCUCCUUCAGAUUUCUUUAAUUUAAAUGUUUUGGGAAAAUAUUGGCUUUCUUCCUCAAUUCUUCAGCUGUUGUCUACCGCAAUGAAUCAGCUUCAAUUUCUCGAGUCACAUUAUUUCUUUUUUCUUUCCAAAAUAAUGGAAGAAUGUGAGUCCUCCCAGGCACAUCACACUAAGAAAUAUCAGGAACAAAAUGGACAAAAUGGUUUCUGUGAAGGAAUUAAUGGCUGAUAUUUAUAAUAUGCUUACGAUGUGUUAGGCACAUGGAUGUAUUUUAGGUUUUAACAUGAUGUUUGCCUCCUCAACUAUUCUGCUCUGUUUGGAAAUUCAUCAAGACUUUCAUAGUUGAGUUCUAUUCAUCCCAGAGAGGUUCGGUGUCCCUGGUCCAAUGCCAUUGUGUUUACCAUCACAGGGUUUAUAGCGUGAAAUUCUUUCCCAUGUCUUCCUUUGCAUUUGCAUCUUGAACUUACAAACUGAUCACAUUCCCUGAUAUUUAAGAUGGUCUUCUCCUUCAUUACAUGCAAUUAUUUCUCUCUGAAUUUUGCACCUUUUGAUAUUGAAAGCAUCUUUAUUAAACAGGCAGAUUUGAAAAAUUUUAAACAGACAUUGAAAAUAAUUUUUUAAAAUUCCUUUUUAAUUUCAUGAAGUGCUCUUUCACCUUUUAGCCAGUAGUUGUCAUCACCUAGACUAUUUUGGAGUACACAACAAAAAGUAGGCAGAUGUCAGAAAAUAAAAUGGUAACCCAAGUUUGAAGGUUAAUGUCUAGAAUGCAUUUUGAAAACAAGCAAGACACCCAAUACUCAAACUUGAAUUCUACUGAGCUACUUUUAUAACUUACAGAGCACCUUCAUUUCCUCUUAACUCAGCCUUAAAGCCUACUCCCCUCCCACCUGCUUAUACAGAGUUGACUACCACUGAGAUUCCUGCUGAGAUGUUUCUGUUUUGGGAUCUGACUUGCUGCUGAGCUUGUCAAUAGCUCAUCUCUUACUGGGUCUUGUGUCUUCCAUAUCAGCCCUACCCCUGAUAAUUCAUCAGCUUAUCUGCCCUCUGAUCCUCUGAAAGGAUC
ensembl:lncRNA